GAGGAAUAUUGGUCAAUGGAGGAAACUCUGAACCCAGCUAUACCGCGUGGAGGACGACAGCCCUUAUUGGUUUUAAACUCCUUUUGUAUAGAAAUAAAAUUUUCUACGAGAUAGAAAUUUGAAGGUACUAUACGAAUAAGUGUCAGCUAAUUUCGUGCCAGCAGCUGCGGUAAUACGUAAGACACAAGCGUUAUCCGGAUUUAUUGGGUUUAAAGGGUGUGUAGGCUGUUUAUUAAGUCAGUAGUGAAAGCUUACAGCUUAACUGUAAAAUAGUUAUUGAUACUGGUAAACUUGAGUAAGAUUGGAGUAUUUGGAAUGUAUGGUGUAGCGGUGAAAUGCAUAGAUAUCAUACAGAACACCAAUAGCGAAGGCAGGAUACUAAAUCUUUAUUGACGCUGAAAUACGAAAGCGUGGGUAGCAAACAGGAUUAGAUACCCUGGUAGUCCAUGCCCUAAACGAUGAUCACUAGCUAUUGGAAAAACUAUAUUCAGUGGCUAAGCGAAAGCGAUAAGUGAUCCACCUGGGAAGUAUAGUCGCAAGAUUGAAACUCAAAGGAAUUGACGGGGUUUCGCACAAGUGGUGGAGCAUGUGGUUUAAUUCGAUGAUACGCGAGAAACCUUACCAAGGCUUAAAUGUAUUACGAAUAAGUUGGAAACAUCUUAGUCUAUAAUGACGUGAUACAAGGUGCUGCAUGGUUGUCAUCAGUUCGUGCUGCGAAGUGUUUGGUUGAGUCCUAUAACGAGCGCAACCCUUAUUGUUAGUUGCCAUCAGAUAAUGCUGGGGACUCUA
rnacentral:rRNA from 1 species